rnacentral:rRNA from 1 species
ACCGAGCAACGCGGCGUGAGUGAAGAAGGUUUUCGGAUCGUAAAACUCUGUUGUUAGAGAAGAACAAGGUAUGACGAGUAAAAUGUUCAUCCCUUGACGGUAUCUAACCAGAAAGCCACGGCUAACUACGAUUGCCAGCAGCCGCGGUAAUACGUAGGUGGCAAGCGUUGUCCGGAUUUAUUGGGCGUAAAGCGAGCGCAGGAGGUUUCUUAAGUCUGAUGUGAAAGCCCCCGGCUCAACCGGGGAGGGUCAUUGGAAACUGGGAGACUUGAGUGCAGAAGAGGAGAGUGGAAUUCCAUGUGUAGCGGUGAAAUGCGUAGAUAUAUGGGGAGGAACACCAGUGGCGAAGGCGGCUCUCUGGUCUGUAACUGACGCUGAGGCUCGAAAGCGUGGGGAGCGAACAGGAUUAGAUACCCUGGUAGUCCACGCCGUAAACCGAUGAGUGCUAAGUGUUGGAGGGUUUCCGCCCUUCAGUGCUGCAGCAAACGCAUUAAGCACUCCGCCUGGGGAGUACGACCGCAAGGUUCAAACUCAAAGGAAUUGACGGGGGCCCGCACAAUGCGGUGGAGCAUGUGGUUUAAUUCGAAGCAACGCGAAGAACCUUACCAGGUCUUGACAUCCUUUGACCACUCUAGAGAUAGAGCUUCCCCUUCGGGGUGCAAAGUGACAGGUGGUGCAUGGUUGUCGUCAGCUCGUGUCGUGAGAUGUUGGGUUAAGUACCCGCAACGAGCGCAACCCUUAUUGUUAGUUGCCAUCAUUUAGUUGGGCACUCUAGCGAGACUGCCGGUGACAAACCGGAGGAAGGUGGGGAUGACGUCAAAUCAUCAUACGCCCCUUAUGACCUGGGCUACACACGUGCUACAAUGGGAAGUACAACGAGUUGCGAAGUCGGCGAGGCUAAGCUAAUCUCUUAAAGCUUCUCUCAGUUCGGAUUGUAGGCUGCAACUCGCCUACAUGAAGCCGGAAUCGCUAGUAAUCGCGGAUCAGCACGCCGCGGUGAAUACGUUCCCGGGCCUUGUACACACCGCCCGUCACACCACGAGAGUUUGUAACA